rnacentral:rRNA from 1 species
CAGUCGCCGCGGUAAUACAGAGGCCUCAAGCGUUGUUCGGAUUCAUUGGGCGUAAAGGGUGCGUAGGCGGUCGGGUAAGUCGGAUGUGAAAUCCUGGGGCUCAACCUCAGAACUGCAUUCGAUACUGCUUGGCUAGAGGACUGGAGAGGAGAUCGGAAUUCACGGUGUAGCAGUGAAAUGCGUAGAUAUCGUGAGGAAGACCAGUGGCGAAGGCGGAUCUCUGGACAGUUCCUGACGCUGAUGCACGAAGGCCAGGGGAGCAAACGGGAUUAGAUACCCCAGUAGUCCCUGUCUCUUAUAC